AGCAGCCGCGGUAUUCCAAUAGCGUAUAUUAAAGUUGUUGCAGUUAAAAAGCUCGUAGUUGAAUUUCGGGAUUGACACAUCGGUCGUGCCUUAAGGGGUAUGAACUGGUGUAGUCAAUUUCUCACCUUCUGGAGAACCGCGAUGCCCUUAAUUGGGUGUCGCGGGGAACCAGGACCUUUACUUUGAAAAAAUUAGAGUGUUUAAAGCAGGCAUUUUGCUUGAAUACAUUAGCAUGGAAUAAUAAAAUAGGACGGCAUGAUUCUAUUUUGUUGGUUUCUAGGAUCACCGUAAUGAUUAAUAGGGAUAGUUGGGGGCAUUAGUAUUCAAUUGUCAGAGGUGAAAUUCUUGGAUUUAUUGAAGACUAACUACUGCGAAAGCAUUUGCCAAGGAUGUUUUCAUUAAUCAAGAACGAAAGUUAGGGGAUCGAAGACGAUCAGAUACCGUCGUAGUCUUAACCAUAAACUAUGCCGACUAGGAAUCAGACGAUGUUAAAAAAAUGACGCGCUCGGCACCUCAUG
rnacentral:rRNA from 1 species